UAAGAAUUUAAAAGUCGAACAGACUUAUCAAUAAGAAUACUGCUUCUUAUAAUAUUCUUAAUUCAACAUCGAGGUCGCAAAAUAUAAUAUAGAUGUGAACUCCCCAUUAAAAUUACGCUGUUAUCCCUAAGGUAACUUAAUCUUACUAUCCUCUAUUUAGGGAUCUUAAAUUUCAUAAAUAAAUGAUACAAAAAACUAAAGUUUAUAUUUAAUUACCACCCCAGCAAAAAAUAAAUUUAUAAAAUAAAAUAAUACUAAUUAAAUUUAAUAAUAUAAAUUUAUAUAAAGUUCUAUAGGGUCUUAUCGUCCCAAUAACCAAAUAAAGCAUUUUAACUUUAAAUUUAAAUUCUAAUUUUUAAAGAAAUAAAAUAUAUUUCUCAUACAUCCAUUCAUACAAGCCCCCAAUUAAGAAACUAAUUACUAUGCUACCUUUGCACAGUCAAAAUACUGCAGCCAUUUAGUUAAAACCAUAGGGCAGAAGAUACUUUUUAUAUAACCA
rnacentral:rRNA from 3 species